GAGUGGCGCAGCGGGAGCGCAGUUGCCUUACAAGCAAACGGUCGGGGGUUCAAAUCCCUCCUCGAC
rnacentral:tRNA from 1 species